rnacentral:lncRNA from 12 species
UAGUGUCCUCUUGUGCUCAAAGGUACUGCAUGGGAGACAGUUUGUAGCUGGUCCCUGCUCCUAAGUCUAACAGAUCUGUGCAGGUAAAAUGCAGAAGAUCAAACAGAUGCAGAGAAUUGAAAUGAGAUGACCCAGCCUUGGAUGAUUCAGCGGGUGACAGAAGAGAUAUCCAGCCAGUGUGAUCAGAAUCUGACCUACAACAACCAGCUUCAGAGACACCUGCAAGACUCUAACUCACAUGGAGUGUGAAGGCAAA